CACGAUGGAGCUCAGUUGGUAGAGCACUUGCCUAGCACGCAGGAGGUCCUGAGUUCCAUCCCCAGCGUUGCAA
rnacentral:tRNA from 1 species